ncrna:unclassified sequences Glutamine riboswitch
AUCGUUCAUUCCCUGCAUCAUUUUAAUGCAAGGAACGGAAGUAGGAAGAUAGGAAAACCUCUUUCUUUUUUAAAGAAAGGCAAGCAAGUACCGAUAAGGGAACGAGACCGAAUAUCUACCGAAGGAACGCGUU